UUAUCCUGGCUCAGGACGAACGCUGGCGGCGUGCUUAACACAUGCAAGUCGCACGAGAAAGCUUCAGCUUGCUGAAGCGAGUAAAGUGGCGCACGGGUGAGUAACGCGUGGGUAAUCUAUCCUUGAAUCUGGAAUAACCUUUCGAAAGGGGGGCUAAUACCGGAUAACAUCAGGGGUGCUUCGGCAUUUUUGAUCAAAGGUGGCCUCUACAUGUAAGCUACUGUUUAUGGAGGAGCCCGCGUCCUAUCAGCUGGUUGGUGGGGUAACGGCCUACCAAGGCGACGACGGGUAGCCGGCCUGAGAGGGUGAACGGCCACACUGGAACUGAGAUACGGUCCAGACUCCUACGGGAGGCAGCAGUGGGGAAUAUUGGGCAAUGGGGGCAACCCUGACCCAGCGACGCCGCGUGGGGGAAGACGGCCUUCGGGUUGUAAACCUCUUUUGUACGGGAAGAAGGUGGUAAAGGUUAAUAUCCUUUAUAAGUGACGGUACUGUACGAAUAAGUCCCGGCUAACUCCGUGCCAGCAGCCGCGGUAAUACGGGGGGUGCAAGCGUUAUUCGGAUUUACUGGGCGUAAAGCGCGCGCAGGCGGUUUUUUAAGUCAGCUGUUAAAUGUCUGGGCUUAACCCGGGCAUGCGGUUGAGACUGCGGUGCUGGAGUGCUGUAGAGGCAAGUGGAAUUCCCAGUGUAGCGGUGAAAUGCGUAGAUAUUGGGAAGAACACCGGUGGCGAAGCGACUUGCUGGGCAGCAACUGACGCUGAGGCGCGAAAGCCAGGGGAGCAAACAGGAUUAGAUACCCUGGUAGUCCACACCGUAAACGAUGGAUACUAGUGUCGGGGACUUGAUCUUCGGUGCCGUAGCUAACGCGUUAAGUAUCCCGCCUGGGGAGUACGGUCGCAAGGCUGAAACUCAAAGAAAUUGACGGGGCCGCAANAGCGGUGGAGUAUGUGNUUAAUUCGAUGCACNNGAAGAACCUUAACUUAGCUUGACUUCCUGGGAA
rnacentral:rRNA from 1 species